CCAGAUUUGAAUAUUUCAAGGUCUCUGCCCUUGCAGAAUCAGACAGAAACAAGUGACAACAUCGUAGUUAAGUGUGAAAACAGUAUGUUCAGAGAACGGUACAGAUAUGUUAGAAAGUUGGCUUUAGUCAUUAAACCUUAAGUAGAUGUGAUUUUUUUAAAGUUAAUGAGAUUCAUGAGUUUAUUUUCUUGUCAGAAGCACCAACAGACAAACCUAUACAUUUUUGGUGUGUGUUUUUCUGUUUUUUAAUCACAGUGCUUUUAUUAUAGAUUAUCUUCAGAAGUUAGUGCAGGUGGCAUGUGGAAGAUAAACAGGACAGACACUCAACCCUGCCUAGUUUGGGGAUGAGUCACUUUUCAAACUGCACAGUUAUAAGCAAAGUGCAUAUUCAAGAACCAAGUUAACAGGCCACCAGCAGACACCCAGGAAUUCCCAAAGGGACACAUAUAUCCCAUAAACUGCACUGCAAGAUAAUAUAUUCUCAUUGGCUCUGCAUGUCAGCAGGCCUGGGUUUGAAUCUCUGCAGUCUUUCUCCAUCCAGUUCUGUGGCCUUGGGCAAGUUAUGAAACCUCUCACUGACUCAGUGCCGUCAUUUGGACAGCAGGGUACAUAGCAAAUUCAAAGAAUGGAACUGAGAUUAAAUGAGAUCUCUGUAAAGUGCCUAGCACAUAGCAGAUACUCACUAAAUACCAGCCCUCUUUGCCUCCAAAAAGUUUUAGUGUCUAAAGUGUAAAAAGUGCCUCAUUGUUUAUACUUUGAGUGAAAGAAACCUUGGAACAGGGUUUGCCCCUGUAACAAAUGUUCUCUCUCAAUAAUAUUAUCCCCGUUUUCACAUGAAGCUGAGAUUCAGAGAGGUCAGAUUACCUCCCUUGGGUCCAGAUGAUUAAAUAAGAUUACAUUUGCUAAAUAAACUUCCAGCAUAGCAGAUGAUCAGUACAUGUAUAGCUCUCCUUGUCCCUCCCACAUUUAAUUUAUUUGUGUGACUUUGGUUUAGUGAUUGUGUUCAUGCUAGCAUCUUUGGUUUCAUCAUCAUAUCCCCAGUGCCUGGCACAGUCUUGGCACAUGGUAGGCACCCAAUCUGUUGAAUAAAUGACCCGAUCUCCGUAAUUACUUUACUGGAGAAACUCUGAAGACUAAUUUCCCUUUGAGCCCUAAACAAUGUUUGGAACCUGCUCAGGGAGAAUCGGGAAAGACCAAGACAGGAUUUCACCCAAAUAUAUCUAUGCAAGUUAUAAAGAUGCUCAUGGAUAGAGAGCAUGACUUCAGCUGGGCGUGGCAGCAUGUGCCUAUAGUCCCAGCUACUCAGGAGGCUGAGGCAGGAGGAUCAUUUGAGCCCAAGAGUUUGAGGCUGCAGUGAGCCAUGGUUGCGCCAUUGCACUCCAGCUUGGGUGACAGAGCAAGACCCUGUAUAGGAGACUUCAUGACCUUAUUAUUGUCAUUAAGUCACAGAAUCUGCCCAUGUGAUGGGCAGCCCUAACUCAUAGCUCACCUUCCAUUCACCAUCGUUUAAAUCCUGCUGUUCAGUCUCCCAGUAGGGAGGAAAACGUGUUUAAAUUACCAAAAUGUCUUUUUCGUUUGUUUGAGACAGGGUCUCUCUGUUGCCUACACUGGAGUGCAAUGGUGCAAUCUCAGCUUAUUGUAGCCUUGACCUCCUGGGCUCAAGUAAUUCUCCCACCUCAGCCUCCCAAAGUGCUGGGAUUGCAGGCAUGAGCCACUGUGCCUGGCAACAAAAUGUCAAUAAUGGUUACCUCUGGGUAACCAUCAGACUAUGGCAACUUUUGAUUGUCUUUUUUUUUUGAGACAAGGUCUCACUCUGUCACCCAGGCUGGAGUGCAGUAGCAUGAUCAUGGCUCACCGCAGUCUUGACCUCCUGGGCUUAAGCCAUCCUCCCACCUCAGACUCCUGAGUAGCUAGGAGUAGGUAGGGCCACAGACACAUCCCACCACCCCGAGCUAAUUUUUUUUUUAAAUUUUUUGUAGAGACAGGGUCUCGCUAUGUUGCCCAGGAUAGUCUCGAACUCCUAACCUCAAGUGAUCCUCCUGCCUCGGCCUCCCAAAGUGCUGGCAUUACAGUUGUGAGCCAUGGACAUAUUACCUUUUGUUUUUGAGAUAAAGUCUUGCUCUGUCAUCCAGGGUGGAGUGCAGUGGCAUGAUCUUGGCUUAUAGCAACCUCUGCCUCCCAGGUUCAAGCAAUCUUCCUACCUCAGUUGGUGGGAUAACAGGCAUGUGCCACAACACCAGGUUAAUUUCUGUAUUUUUAGUAGAGACAGGGUUUCUCCAUGUUUGGCCAGGCUGGUCUCAAACUCCAGACUUCAAGUGAUCUGCCUGCCUCAGCCUCCCAAAGUGCUGGGAUUAUAGGCAUGAGCCACCACGCCCGGCCCAUAUUACACUUUUUAAUUGAAAAAAAUUCUUUUUCAUUUCAACCGCAAAACAUAGAACAUUUAGAUUAAGGUAGUAGCUAUGGGUAAUAUUUUUUCUUUUUUAUAUUUGUAUUUUCAAAACCUAGAAUUAGUAUGUGCUACUUUUAUGAUGGAAAAACAAAUUCCAUUCUUAAUGCAAUAUACCUCAACAAUGUGAAAACAACUUUAAUAAUUAUUAAUAUUUUUAUUUUGCUUAAAAAGAUUUGUGGGACCCCCUAGAAUGGCCUCAAAGGAAGGAUAACCUGAGCUGCUUUUUACCGAAAUCACGGAAAAUGGCAGCUCUCUGAUGCUUUAAGGUUUUCAAGUAUAGAUUUCAGGACCUCAAUAAGGUACCCAUCCCAAUUUUUAAUCUCUCUUAAUAAUGCAGAGAUUUACUCACAUCCACCAUAAUGCUUCUGGCCUCAGUUUAAGCCAUUUCCUCUAUUAUUUCCUCUGUGAAAGAAGGAAAAGAACCUUUAAAAUGUAUUUUAACAUCAAAAUGCUGAGCGGGUGGUGUGCCCAAGUGAUGAGAGCGGUGAAUGGGUUAUUUCUUUGUUUCCCAUGAUUUAUAAUAAAAACAUCAACUUACACCCUACCCUAAAUGACUUUUCUUCCUCUAAUAACUAAAUGUGAAGUUGGGGGCUUAUAUAAAUGGCUUUUCACAGGACUUAACUCUUGAAUUCCAAAACCAUCAUACGAGGUGAAUGAGAAAAGUGGGCCAGUAAAGAAAAGACACUUUCCCAAGAUUGCACAAUUGGUUGUUGCUGGAGUCAACAUUUAAACCCCAAGCUCCUCAUUCCAAGUUCUUUCUAAGGCACUGUGGUAGCCUUAGAAAUGGCCACCUCCUCACAUUCAUAUCCUUUUUUAGUCCCCUCCCACUUUGAUUAGGGCUGAACUCUGUAACUGUGGAAAUGAGCAUAAGUGGCUUCUGGGGCUAGGUCAGAGAAAACAUUGCAGCUCUGCCUUGUUCCAGGUCACAUGCUCUGGGGGAAACUAGCCACCAUGUCAUAAGGACACUCAAGCAGCUUUCUGGAGAGGUCUAUACGACAGUAGCCCCAGACAAACUUUCACAUGACUUCAGCCUUGGCCAACAUCUUGCCUACAACCUCACGAAAGACCCCAAGCCAGAAUCAUCCACAUAAGCUGGAUUCCAGACCCACAGAAACAGCGAGACAUGAUAUGUUGAUUUUUUGUUGUUGUGGUGGUGGUGGUUUUUUUUUUUUUUUUUGGUUUUUGGUUUUUGGUUUUUUAUUUUUUUGAGAUGGAUUCUCACUCUGUCGCCCAGCCUGGAGUGCAGUGGUGUGAUCUCAGCUCACUGCAACCUCUGCCACCCGGGUUCAGGCAAUUCUCCUGCCUCAGCCUCCCAAGUAGCUGGGAUUACAGGUGCCUGCCAUCGGGCCCAGCUAAUUUUUGUAUUUUUAGUAAAGGUGGGGUUUCACCAUGUUGGCCAGGCUGGUCUUGAACUCCUGACCUCAUGAUCCACCUAACUUCAGCCUCCCAAAAUGCUGGGAUUACAGGUGAGGGCCACCGUGCCCAGCCGAAAUGUUGAUUGUUUUAAGUCACUAGAUUUUGAGGUAAUUCGUUUCACAGCAAUUGACAACUAAUAAAGACAGUGUCUCCCCUUCUGAGUGGUGCUUACCUUUUGUGAAGCCUGUUAAAAAGCAAUGGACUCUCUUUCCAGAAAAACUUAUACCUAUUUAUAUGAAAUUCUCUAUAGUGUUCCAAGGUAUUCCUGGCCCCUCUUGAAACCCCAAGAAAUACAACUACAUGUCCCAGUUUAUGGAGUUAAUAGAUGCCAGAGCCAGGAUUCAAACCCAACUACCUCAACUACACAGCUCACAUCCUCUGCCCCUUUGCCGUUCUGCCUUCCUGGAGGCCUGGGUUCAGAACCACUGCUCUAAGUUAAGUUGUCCUUACAUCUUCAUCUUCCUUCUGCAUUCUAUCCCUUUAUUCUUUUUUUUUUUUUUUUAAGAGUGAGCAGCAGCAAGAUUUAUUGUGAAGAGCGAAAGAACAAAGCUUCCACAGCGUGGAAGGGGACCAGAGUGGGUUGCCCUAUCCCUUUAUUCUUGCAGGUCACAUUUCUCUGGACCCAUUUUAAUUGCAAUUCCUGAGUGACCCAUUGUGUAUUAGGUCCCAGCAAAAACACAAAGACAAGCUCACUGACUCCGAGGGCCCCUGGUCUAAUGGGAUCUUAGAGAUGGAAAUAAAUAACUGUACACAUUAUUAAAACCUAUUAUCUUAGGUCCUUUUGGACAAGGAGGCAGCAACAAACUCCGAGAGGGCAGCCUUCACAGAGGAGCUAAUACUUUAGCUGGGCCUUGAAAGCCCAAAGGAAAGAGGGUGGCUCAGGUGAAUUCUGGGUAGAAGUGCCAGUGAGUAUGAUAGGGAGUGGUCUCCAUGGGUCUGUGUGUGAAAGAGCAAGUGUGUUCACUUGGGGACAGGCCAGCAGUCCAGAGGGGCAGGAGCAGGAGACAAAGCCAGAAAGGUGGGCUGGGCAGAUCCCAAGCAAAGUCUUGACCACCUCCUGUAACAACCAGCUCAAUAGAGCUAUGAUCUGAGCUCAUAUAUUGGCUCUUACCCAACCCUGUGGCCCCAGACCCAACAGCAGAGGCCCUGACACAGGUGUUUGUCAACGUUUUCUGAAUGAAUUCAUUCAAGCAGAACUGGGUGCUAAGACUGGUCUGCAGUUGGGGCAGGGAAAGCAAGACAGGGUUGCAGAGUCACCCUUGAUGUCUCCUUGAAUGUCAUUUCUUUGGCAAGGUUUUGCCUGAUUUCCUACAUUCAUUAAGCCGUCCAUCCUCCCAUACCACUCAAUGCGUUCUUCAACAUAUAAUGAAAAAUCUAAUUCACUCUUGACAUUAAUGAUGACUUCAAUGUCUACUCCAAAUUAGACAGUCAGCCAGAUGAUGUAAGGGACUGCUUGCUUCUUCACUGCUCUGCUCUCCAUCCUAGAGGAAAGACUCCUCUAUCCCAGAAAACAACAGUAAUACAGCAUGGGGCACCUUCUUCCAUUGGCACUGAUAGCCUCUUACUGGGAUGCCAGCCCUGUGCUGAGCCCUGGGGACUUACAGCCUAGAUAGACACAGUUCCUGUGUUUACACAGAUGGAUUACAAAUGAUGGCAAGCCAACGUAGUAGGUGCCCUAGCAGAUAGAAGCCUGGGGUGCUGUUAGAGUUGACAGAAGGGGAUGUCUGAAAGCUGACACCAGGUAGGGGAGAAAUUAGUUCCAAACUCAACAAUUAUAGUCACUUUGGGUGCAAAAUAAGCAUUCAAAAAUGAAUAACUUUUAAUGUACUACUAAUAAUUCCAUUAGAAAAUGGUGCGAUGAGGGCCAGGCACAGUGGCUCAUGCCUGUAAUCCUAGCACUUUGGGAGACCAAGGUGGUAGGGUUGCUUGAGGCCAGGCAUUCAAGACCAGCCUGGGCAACAUAGUGAGACCGUGUCUCAAAAAAAAUAAGAAGAAAAAAAGAAGGAGAAGGAGGAAGAGGAAGAAGAAUAGGGAAAAGAAGAACAAGAAGAAAAGAGGAAGAGGAAGAAGGAGAAGGAGAAGAAAAUAAUAAUAAUAAUGGUGAGAUGGCUGGGCACAGUGGUUUGCACCUGCAAUCUCAGCAUUUUGGGAGGCUGAGGCAAGGGUAUAAUUUCAGCCCAGGAGUUCAAGACCAGCCUGCACAAUAUAACAAGACUUCAUCUAUACUAAAAAUAAAAUAAAUUAGCUGGGUAUGGUGAUGCACACCUGUAGUCCCAGCUACUUGGGAGGCUGGGGCAGGAGAGCUGCUUGAGCCUAGGAGUUCAACAUUGCAGGGACCUCUGAUCAUGCCAUUGCACUCCAGUCUGGGCAACAGAGUGAGACAUGUCUCAAAAACAGGAAAUAGGUUGGGAGAAAAAACCAAAAUGGGUUGGGAGAAAAAAAAAUGGUGGGAAAAAAAGGAUUCCAUUCACAAGAGCAAUUAAAAUAUUACAUCAUCUGGGCUGGCCACACUCUGACUCUUAUUUCCUAGAAUAUUCUGCCUCCAGGUACCAGACACACAGCUUGCUCCCUAAUUUCACUCAGGGCUCUGCUCAAAUGUACAUCUCAUCACUCCAGAGAUGCUUUCCCUGCCCUCCCAAUCCAGCUCAGCCACACCCCAGCUCUUUACUUUCUGACCUGCCUGGUUUUACUUCAGAGCACUCUGACCACCAUUAGACACAGCCUGUUUGUCCUUUGACAACCAUCUGCCUCCACUAUUAGGAUGUGACAUUCCCUAGGACAGGAGCUGCCUUCUGUAUCCCUAGGAUCUAGAAGAAUGCCCAGUACUUAGUAGAUGCUCAAAGAAUGAAUAAAUGAAUCUGAUGCCAAAGUCCUGGCUCCUCACUGUCCCUGGAAUAAUCUAGCAGAGGGUGAUCACUGCAUUAACAAAGCCCCUUAUGGAAAUCUGUGACGCCUCCUUUGUGCUGUAUCUGUGCCACUGCUCACCUUAAAUUUACUUAUUUGUGAAUGGCCAGAAUUUCCUCCAGACUGAGAGUUCUGGAAGGGCAGGGUUCAUGGCUGCUGUAGCCCAUGACAUAGAGUCUUGAACAGCAUAGGUUAUUUAAUCUUUUGUUGACUGAACAGAAAAACAAAUCCCCAAACCAAUGGCAGAAGUUUAAUUUCUCUGCUGCCAAAUGCAGAAUAGGGGCCACCUUCCAGCCCACUGCCCUGAAAAAAGACUAGGCCCCAUUCCUAGGGAACUAAGACCUUGGAGUCAAGCUCAAGUGCUCCUUAGAAUUCCUUGGGUAGUGAGCUGUGCCAGGGAAAGCUCCUGGCAGAAUGCAAUUUGCCAACUAAGCCCAGAAAGCUGUGUGAACAGCAGGCAAACUUAAAGCAGGCACUUAGUGAAAUUGCUUUCUGUUAUCUCAAAAAGAAAUAAUAGCAUGCCAGGCUGGCUUAAGGGGAAAAUACUCGAGUGUAAAUAGGCUGCGCUUCACUCCCCUGGUCUCCAAAACACACAAAAGCCUCCAAGGGCUCUCCCUCUAACUUGAGCCAUGGAGUCGAGACCCUCCCAGCCCCGUUCUCCAUCCCCAUUCCAUCACUCCAGGCCCAUCAGAUUCCGCAGUCACCAGGAACUCUCCUUGCAUUUAUUCAUGUUGUCCCCUUUGUCUGGCAUGCUUGUCCUUCCUUCCUCUGUCACCCAGGCUGGAGUGCAGUGAUGCAAUCGUAACUCACUGCACCCUUGACCUCCUAGGCUCAAGUGAGCCUCCAACCUCAACCUUCUGAGUAGCUGGGACUACAGGUUCAUGUCACUAUGCCUGACGAAUUAAAGAAUUU
rnacentral:lncRNA from 1 species